UUGGACAGUAAAAUUGUGGAAGGAAAGGAAGGAGGCGUCACUUUUAAGAGUAUUUCUGCGAAGCUGCUUUAACAGAGGAAUAACAGAUAAUUAAACUGUCAGCGCUCUCCGCUCAGUGCUCUCUGGGAGAGAGGAUCACUGAGAUUAAAGCAGGACGGGAGCACAUCCGUCCGUCCGUCCUGAGUCAGCCUCGACAUGGAGCUGCCGAGAGACAGCGCUGAGUCACCGCCUUCAGUCUGAACCUCCACAUCUUCAGCUCAGGACCUUCCUCCAAACGUCAGACCCGACCGGGCUGAAUCUGAUCCUGAACACAGACUGUGGCAUCCGCUUGACUCGUGUUUGACUGAAUAGAAAAAGGGAGUUAAUGGCCAUGAGAAGCGACUGAAGGAACACAGAGAGGAAAGCAAACGGCGAGCACAGUUAGCGAGGAGGACUCGGGAGGGUUUUUAAGCUCUGAUAAAAGCUAUAGAGCCGCUCUCAGGUUUCAUACGGUGCCUUUACAGCACAAAGGUUGCAGAUAAUAAUCGGGAAGCUGGUUUCAGCCUGCAGGACUGAUGUCAGAGCAGAGAGCCACAGCGCUGCCUCGUCCGUCAAACGGCAGCUCGUGUUGUCUCAGCGCCCGGCACAGGAAAGGUCAGGCCUGCUGCUCCGACGCUGAACAAACAGCACAACACCGUGUGGGGCUUUUCAGCUGAGCACACACACAGGGACACACUCAGAGGUGCAUCCAGGCACACAUACAUUACCACACACACACACACACACACACACACACACAGACACAGAGACACACACACACACACACACACAGACAAAUGUAAUGCAUGCGAGGCAGCCGCUGCAGCACUAGAGCACCUGUUGUAGCGCUGUGUGGAGGUGUUGACACAACAGCUACUGCAGAGUUUGAACCGCUGAAAUCACAGUUCCACAUCAAUCUGAGAGCUCGUUAAGCUCGUUAAGUUGGUGCACCUGUGACCACACCUGUCCGGGAUGUAAGAGCAGACAGCACACCUUUACAUCGCUGCAAAGGUCAGGCAUGAACUACAGCUGAAAUAUAUAAACACACAAACAUGCUAACUUACAACAAGCUAACAGACUCUCUGGUAUCACCUUUCCUCCUGUGAAACUCAAGGGACGGUCUGACUUAGGGUACCCUCUGUGUUUGAUGUAGUCCUGUUUUAAGGUACCCUAUAAGUCUGUUAAAGAGUCUCCAGUGUGUCCUGCUUUAAGGUACCCUUGUGGUUCUCUUAAGUUUGUUGGUUUCUUCUGAGGUACCUCUUUGUGUCUGCUUUGAGACUGAUUCCUUCCAUCUGUUUUAAGGUACCCUGGAUCACGUGUCUUUAAAUUCUCUUAUGCACUGGUUUUCUGGUAUCCUUUAAUGUCUGUAUUAUGGUACCCUUUAGCUCCUGGUUCCUCAGUUUCUAACAGUAAGCUGAUUAUUUUUUAAGGUAUAAUUUAGGUACACUUGUGAUCCUGCUUCAGGGUACCCUCUAUCGUCAUUUCCAUGUGUUUCUGAAAGUAUGUUCGGAGGUUUCCUUUGGUGUCUGUAUCAAGGUUCUACUCAUCACCUGUUUCAUUGCACCCUUAAAACAUUACGUUUAAGAUACCAUUUAGUGUCAUGUACACUUCGGACUUCUGAUCCUGUAUUAAGGUACCCUUAAGCUCAUGUUCCUCUGUUUAUAGCUUUUAAGAUUCCCUUUGGUGUCUGUAUUUAAGU